AUAUGAUAUGGGUUCCUUUAUAUAACUUUGCAAACGAGUACAUCGGUAAUGACCAAAUUGCUUUAGGUAGUGAGCAAUCACUUCCAAUAACACACUCAGGACAAAUAAUCUUUCGGCAAAAUCCUAUUCAAAGGAUCUAGCAUCAAUGGCCUUUAUCCUAUCAAUCCCACAAUUGCAAAUACACCAAAGAAGUCACUUACUGCUCAUGUUGGAACAAGAACAUCCUCUUCCAUUUAGCAUAAUCGGUAGGGGUAGAGGUAAGGGCAAAGGCAAGCUGGCGAGCGACCAGAAGUAACUGUGGCGAGCCAUAGGGAUCUCUGCUUCCGCUUUACAUCCGAGUUUAAAUCUUGAGUGUUUGAAUUUUAAUUAUUCUUUAUUUGUUAUUUCGUUUCUUUAAAAUUAGAUAGGCCCGAGUUAGGAUUUUAAUAUUUGUUUACAUU